UGCCAGCCGCCGCGGUAAUACGGAGGGUACGAGCGUUGUUCGGAAUUACUGGGUUUAAAGGGUGCGCAGGCGGACCUUUAAGUCAGUGGUGAAAUCUUGCCGCUUAACGGUAAAAUUGCCAUUGAUACUGGCGUGCUCGGAUUGGCACGAGGCAGGCGGAACGCGGCAUGUAGCGGUGAAAUGCUUAGAUAUGCCGCAGAACACCGAUUGCGUAGGCAGCCUGCCAGAGCUAUAUCGACGCUGAGGCACGAAAGCGUGGGGAGCGAACAGGAUUAGAUA
rnacentral:rRNA from 1 species